CAGCAUGUUAGAGUCACCUGGGUGAUGGGAGGCGGUACCCAGACGUUAGUGAGGGAAUAAACUCCCCAGGUGUUUCCAAUAUACAUCCAAGGCCCUCUAAACCACAAGUUCAAUUGCUUCUGGCUACACCCGUGGAAGCCACGGCGUAGGUACAGACCAGCCCAAAUGAACAUCAGUGAAGAGGAGCCCUGGAAGUCCCUUGAUUUCCGAGGGUCACACCUUGUGCAUGGACUGGAGUUUCAAUUCUCAAGUUUCUUUAAACGUCUCAACAUCUCCAACACCUCCACAAUACGCAGCUGAUAUGCUAACAGAGUAUUUCCCCCAAGAAGACAUUAAAGAUGUUCUGCAUAGUCUUAACUGGAAGCAGUAACUUGCAGUGGGUGGCUUUGAACUCCUUAUAGUUCUGAGAAGAGACUCCAGAGAGAGAAUUUAUGUGAGUGUUCAUAGGGUCAUUUUCUAAAAUCCAAAUAUCAUCAAGGCACUCUUUUUUUUUUUUUUCCAAUUUUUUAGAAAACAGAAACUAACCAUUGUCACUUCCUAUGUGUCAGGAACCAUAUUUAUUACAGGGCUAGUGUUCUAAAGUGGGGUACUUUUACCUCCGUGGUUGCUCUUGAUAUCUCUGUUGGUAAUUCAUCACCAAACAGUCGGCUUUGGUAACUAAAGCAAACUCUACCGGAAGGUCUAGUAGGGUCUCUGCUAUUUAUGUCACACUGUUCCGGUAACCAAAUAAUUUUAUCUCAUAUCACUGAGGAAACAUUCAUUUUGAUGAUUACCAGGGUUUAUGCCAACUGUCACAAGUCUGUAAGAGCUAUCGCUUCGACUAGCGAUAUGAAUAAUUUUAGGAAGAUGGGAGGAAAAUGACCAAUUUUAGACGAUCACUAUUUCCUUUGUUUUAGCCUCUGCCACAAAAAUAAAGUCGAUGUACUAGCCUGGGAGACCAGCCUUAGAACAGCACAAGUUCUCUGGGAAACACAUGGAAAAGGUUUCAUCAGGCGCCGAUCCCUGAACUAUACUGGGAGGAUCACUAA